rnacentral:rRNA from 1 species
GACGAACGCUGGCGGCGUGCCUAAUACAUGCAAGUAGAACGCACAGUUUAUACCGUAGCUUGCUACACCAUAGACUGUGAGUUGCGAACGGGUGAGUAACGCGUAGGUAACCUGCCUGGUAGCGGGGGAUAACUAUUGGAAACGAUAGCUAAUACCGCAUAAUAUUAAUUAUUGCAUGAUAAUUAAUUGAAAGGUGCAAUUGCACCACUACCAGAUGGACCUGCGUUGUAUUAGCUAGUAGGUGAGGUAACGGCUCACCUAGGCGACGAUACAUAGCCGACCUGAGAGGGUGAUCGGCCACACUGGGACUGAGACACGGCCCAGACUCCUACGGGAGGCAGCAGUAGGGAAUCUUCGGCAAUGGACGAAAGUCUGACCGAGCAACGCCGCGUGAGUGAAGAAGGUUUACGGAUCGUAAAGCUCUGUUGUAAGAGAAGAACGGGUGUGAGAGUGGAAAGUUCACACUGUGACGGUAUCUUACCAGAAAGGGACGGCUAACUACGUG